rnacentral:rRNA from 1 species
UAAAGGCUCACCUAGGCGACGAUCCCUAGCUGGUCUGAGAGGAUGACCAGCCACACUGGAACUGAGACACGGUCCAGACUCCUACGGGAGGCAGCAGUGGGGAAUAUUGCACAAUGGGCGCAAGCCUGAUGCAGCCAUGCCGCGUGUAUGAAGAAGGCCUUCGGGUUGUAAAGUACUUUCAGCGGGGAGGAAGGGAGUAAAGUUAAUACCUUUGCUCAUUGACGUUACCCGCAGAAGAAGCACCGGCUAACUCCGUGCCAGCAGCCGCGGUAAUACGGAGGGUGCAAGCGUUAAUCGGAAUUACUGGGCGUAAAGCGCACGCAGGCGGUUUGUUAAGUCAGAUGUGAAAUCCCCGGGCUCAACCUGGGAACUGCAUCUGAUACUGGCAAGC